rnacentral:rRNA from 1 species
GACGAACGCUGGCGGCGUGCUUAACACAUGCAAGUCGAACGAUGAAGCCCAGCUUGCUGGGUGGAUUAGUGGCGAACGGGUGAGUAACACGUGGGCAACCUGCCCCAAACUCUGGGAUAACUCCUCGAAAGAGGUGCUAAUACCGGAUACGAACUAGACAGACAUCUGUACUAGUUGGAAAGUUUUUCGGUUUGGGAUGGGCCCGCGGCCUAUCAGCUUGUUGGUGAGGUAACGGCUCACCAAGGCUACGACGGGUAACCGGCCUGGGAGGGGGGCCGGUCACACUGGGACUGAGAGACGGCCCAGACUCGUACGGUAGGCAGCAGUGGGGAAUAUUGCGCAAUGGGCGAAAGCCUGACGCAGCGACGCCGCGUGAGGGAUGAAGGUCUUCGGAUCGUAAACCUCUUUCAGUAGGGACGAGGCGAAAGUGACGGUACCUAAAGAAGAAGCACCGGCUAACUACGUGCCAGCCGCCGCCGUAA